ensembl:snRNA U6 U6 spliceosomal RNA
GUGUUCGCUUUGGCGGCACAUCUACUAUAAUUGGAACGACACAGAGAAGAUUAGCAUGGCCCCUGCCCAAGGAUGACAAGCAAAUUCGUGAAAUGGUCCAUAUUUAA